CUGGUUGAUUCUGCCAGGAAUGAUAUGCUUACUUUAAAGAUUAAGCCAUGCCACUGUCAGGAUUGAUUUUAAAACAAUAAAACUGGGUACGGCUCAUUAAAUCAGUUAUAGUUUAUUUGAUGGUUUUGAGGUUUACCUCAACUACAUGGAUAACUGUAGUAACCUAGAGCUAAUACAUGCAAAACAACUCGACUUUUUGGAAGGGUUGGCACUUAUUAGAUAUCAAACCAAUAAUCUUCGGAUUUUUUUGGUGAAUCAUAAUAACUGAACAGAUCGCAUGACCUUGUGUUGGCGACGUUUCAUUCAAAUUUCUGCCCUAUCAACUUGAUGUUAGUAUAUUGGACUAACAUGGUUAUAACGGGUAACGGGGAAUUGGGGUUCGAUUCCGGAGAAGGAGCAUGAGAAACGGCUACUACUUCUAAGGAAAGCAGCAGGCGCGCAAAUUAUUCAAUGGAAACAAAUUUCCGAAAUAGUGACAAAAAAUAACAAUACGUUGCAUUUUAAUGUGAUGUAAUUGGAAUGAGUACAAUUUAAAAACCUUAACGAGUAACAAUUAGAGGGCAAGUCUGGUGCCAGCAGCCGCGGUAAUUCCAGCUCUAAUAGUGUAUAUUAAUGUUGUUGCAGUUAAAAAGCUCGUAGUUGAAUUUUGAAUAUUUAUCAAGUUUGGUUUACAUUUUAAUGUAUGACUACUUGAUAAUAUUCUUCCUACUAGAUACUCGAUUCUGUUCUUAAUUGAAUGGAAUAGCAUCCUUUCGGGGGUGUCGGUAGUGAGUACCAGCUCCUCCAGUAUGUGGAGAUGUGUAAAAGCAUUGAAGCAUAUUGAGGGGAUAAAGUUGGUGCUUGCUACUGGAGUUCUAGUUCAUUUACUUUGAGAAAAUUAGAGUGUUUAAAGCAGCCUCUUGGGGCUCUGAAUACAUUAGCAUGGGAUAAUAAAAUAGGAUUUAAAUAAUAUAUUUGUUGGUUUGAAUUGUUUAAAUAAUGAUUAAUAGGGACAGUUGGGGGUAUUUAUAUUGGAUGGUUAGCGGUGAAAUGCAUGGAUCCAUUCAAGAUAAACUAAAGCGAAAGCAUUUACCAAGGAUGUUUUCAUUAAUCAAGAACGAAAGUUAAGGGAUCGAAGAUGAUCAGAUACCGUCGUAGUCUUAACUAUAAACUAUGCCGACCAGGGAUAUGAGUUGUUAUGAAUACUCGUUAGAGUAUUCGAUUUCCUCUUGUGGACCUUGUGAGAAAUCAUAAGUUUUUGGGUUCUGGGGGGAGUAUGGUCGCAAGGCUGAAACUUAAAGGAAUUGACGGAGGGGCACCACCAGGAGUGGAGCGUGCGGCUUAAUUUGACUCAACACGGGAAAACUUACCAGGUCCAGACAUUAGAAGGAUUGACAGAUUGAUAGCUCUUUCAUGAUUUAAUGGGUGGUGGUGCAUGGCCGUUCUUAGUUGGUGGAGUGAUUUGUCUGGUUAAUUCCGAUAACGAACGAGACCUUACCAUACUAAAUAGUUUGACUUAUGAAUUUAUUUCAUAGGUUUAUGAUAGCAAUAUCUAAACUUCUUAGAGGGACUAUUGGUUUCUAAACCAAAGGAAGUAAAGGCGAUAACAGGUCUGUGAUGCCCUUAGAUGUUCUGGGCUGCACGCGCGCUACAAUGAUAGUUUCAACGAGUAUUUAUAUUUUUUUAUAUUUUACUUAACCGGAAGGUUUGGUUAAUCUUAAACAACUAUCGUGCUUGGGAUAGAUGAUUGCAAUUAUUUAUCUUGAACCAGGAAUUCCUAGUAAUCGUAUAUCAUCAGUGUGCGAUGAUUACGUCCCUGCCCCUUGUACACACCGCCCGUCGUUGCUACCGAUUGGAUGAUCCGGUGAACUCUUCGGAUAGAGGUUAACAAUUUCACCCUCGAGGCAGCUAUGACCAUGAGAACGCCAAUAUCCCAUACCACUCACAAGAAGCAAAACUCGCAUCCAGGCCUCCGCAGGUGACUACGCCACGUAGGAUCG
rnacentral:rRNA from 1 species